AUUGAACGCUGGCGGCAUGCCUUACACAUGCAAGUCGAACGGCAGCACGGGAGCAAUCCUGGUGGCGAGUGGCGAACGGGUGAGUAAUAUAUCGGAACGUGCCCAGUCGUGGGGGAUAACGUAGCGAAAGCUACGCUAAUACCGCAUACGAUCUAUGGAUGAAAGCGGGGGAUCGCAAGACCUCGCGCGAUUGGAGCGGCCGAUAUCAGAUUAGGUAGUUGGUGAGGUAAAGGCUCACCAAGCCGACGAUCUGUAGCUGGUCUGAGAGGACGACCAGCCACCCUGGGACUGAGACACGGCCCAGACUCCUACGGGAGGCAGCAGUGGGGAAUUUUGGACAAUGGGCGCAAGCCUGAUCCAGCAAUGCCGCGUGCAGGAUGAAGGCCUUCGGGUUGUAAACUGCUUUUGUACGGAACGAAACGGCGAGCUCUAAUACAGUUUGCUAAUGACGGUACCGUAAGAAUAAGCACCGGCUAACUACGUCCCAGCAGCCGCAGUAA
rnacentral:rRNA from 1 species